CUCUUAUAUGGGCAGAGACUCUCACUGUUCACAUUCUCACAGUUAUGUGAUAGCUUAUUGGAACUUAAAACUCUGAGAUGGAUGACUGAAUAAGUGACUAUAAUUGUGAGGAGAAAACAUAAAAUUAUAUCUGUCAAACAAGAUUGAGGGAUUUUAUUCUUUUUAUUUUUUAAGGUACACUUCACAUCUUCACAGCAUGGAGCCCAAUGUGGAGGGCCUGAACUCAUGACCCUGAGAUCAAGACCUGAGCUGAGAUCAGGAGUCAGAUGCUUAACCCGCUGAGCCACUCAGAUACUCCAAGAUUGAGAGAUUUUAUAUAACUUCUAGAGGAACCUGGCUCAGAAGAAGAAUUUCACUCCUUGGGAUUUUGAAGAAUGACCGCCAUUGAUUUGGUAAUGGUAAUGAUCUUCUUAUUACAAAUUAUAGUUGGACUUCUGGGGAAUUUUUAUCUUCUUUACCAUUAUCUCUUACUUUAACGGGAUGGGGGUUCAGGUCCACAGAUUUGAUUCUCAAGCACUUGACUAUAGCCAACUCCUUGGUCAUUCUCUCUAAAGGAGUCCCCCACAUGAUGGCAGUUUGGGGACUAAAAGAAUUCCUCAAUGAUAUUAGAUCCAAAUUUGUUUUCUAUGUUCACAGAGUGUGCAGGAAUGUGUCCAUUGGCACUGUCUGCCUCUUGAGCCUCUUCCAGAUGAUCAUCAUCAGUCCCAGGGAUUCCAGGUUGUUCAGAGAUGGAAAGAGUAAAACACGGCCUCCCUUCCUGUACCUCCAGAAGGUCGGAACAUAUCAUGAUUCUUUCACAUGUGAAUACCUUUCUGAGAUACGAAUAUCUGUGUUGAUGGUGUUACUGUUACUUUAUGAAUAUGAGUGAGCUGUGUGAGCUUGUGUGUGUCAUAGUGUGUAUGACACACUGUGCAUAUGUGUAUAUACAGUGUGUGUGUUUAUAUAUAGUGAGUUUGGGACGAGUGAGAGUUUGUUAUAGAAAGUGUGAGUGUAUAUGUGUUCAAGUAAGUGAGCGCGUGCGACUGCAUUUGUCUGUGUGUGAACAUAUGUGUGCGUUUCCAUCUGUGUGGAAGGCUGGAAAGCACAUGUAGACGAGAAACUGAGCACCAUCAGGAUUCUAAUCCCACACUUGGAAAGUAGGGGCUUUAGAUAGAGGAGCUAGAUCAUAUUGUGGAUUUGUUUGAAGGAAAAACAAAAGGAUUAAUUUGGACUCAUAUUUUUAAAAUCAAUUAUGAAAGCAAUCAGGCUCAUUACUAAACAUUCAGCAAAAAACAUUAAAAAAAAAUAGGGGCGCCUGGGUGGCUCAGUCGGUUCAGCUCAGGUCAUGAUCUCGCGGUUUGUGGGUCUGAGCCCCGCCUUGGGCUCUGUGCUGACAGCUCAAAGCCUGGAGCCUGCUUCAGAUUCUGCGUCUCCCUAUCUCUCUCCCCUCCCCCGUUCAUGCUCUG
rnacentral:lncRNA from 1 species